AUUAAACGCUGGCGGCAUGCCUUACACAUGCAAGUCGAACGGCAGCACGGGGGCAACCCUGGUGGCGAGUGGCGAACGGGUGAGUAACGCAUCGGAACGUGCCCUGGAGUGGGGGAUAACGUAGCGAAAGUUACGCUAAUACCGCAUAUUCUGUGAGCAGGAAAGCAGGGGAUCGCAAGACCUUGCGCUCUGGGAGCGGCCGAUGUCGGAUUAGCUAGUUGGUGGGUAAAGGCCUACCAAGGCGACGAUCCGUAGCGGGUCUGAGAGGAUGAUCCGCCACACUGGGACUGAGACACGGCCCAGACUCCUACGGAGGCAGCAGUGGGGAAUUUUGGACAAUGGGCGCAAGCCUGAUCCAGCCAUGCCGCGUGAGUGAAGAAGGCCU
rnacentral:rRNA from 1 species